GAGUUUGAUCCUGGCGUCAGGAUGAACGCUAGCGGCAGGCUUAACACAUGCAAGUCGAGGGGCGAGCGGGGUGUAGCAAUACACUGCCGGCGACCGGCGCACGGGUGCGUAACGCGUAUGCAACCUACCCAUAACAGGGCAUAACACUGAGAAAUUGGUACUAAAUUCCCCAUAACAUUCGAAGAGGCAUCUCUUUGGGUUGAAAACUCCGGUGGUUAUGGAUGGGCAUGCGUUGAUUAGCUAGUUGGUG
rnacentral:rRNA from 1 species